UGAGGGAUUGUAAAUGCACCAAUCAGCACCCUGUCAAAACGGACCAAUCAGCUCUCUGUAAAACAGACCAAUCGGCUCUCUGUAAAAUGGACCAAUCAGCAGGAUGUGGGUGGGGCCAGAUAAGAGAAAAAAGCAGGCAGCCUGAGCCGGCAGUCGCAACCUGCUUGGGUCUUCUUUCACGCUGUAGAAGCUUUGUUGUUAUACUCUCUACAGUAAAUCUUGCAAGUGCUAAGUCUUUGGGUCCGCACUGCGUUUAUGAGCUGUAACAUUCACUGUGAAAGUCUGCAGCUUCACUCCUGCAGCCAGGGAGACCACGAACCUGCAAGGAAGAAGGAACAACUCCAGAUGCGCCGCCUUAAAAGCUGUAAUACUCGCUGUGAAGGUCUGCAGCUUCAUUCCUGAGCCAGCGAAACCACUGAACCCACCAGAAGGAAGAAACUCCAAACACAUCUGAAUAUCUGAAGGAACAAACUCCGGACACGCUGCCUUUAAGAACUGUAACAGUCACCGUGAGCGUCCGUGAUUUCAUUCUGGAAGUCAGUGAGACCAAGAACCCACCAAUUCUGGACACACUUCUAGUAACCAUUCUGAGCAGGCAUCAUAGUUUAUCCAUGUUCUCAGCAGGAAGCUGAGGCUCAGAAAGGAAGAGCAACUGGAGCGAGAUCACACAGCCCACAAAUGGCAGAGCUGGAUUCAAACACAGGUCUGUCUGACUCCAAAGUCAGCAUUCUUUCCUUCCAUGAAGUACAGUCGGCUUUUAGCAGGAGAUAGUGACAUCCCAGGGACAUUUCUAACUCAGUUUCUGGAAAGCCCCAUCCAAAACCGACUAAUGUGUUGGAUAGACCAGGACUUUGUUUUGUCCAGAUGUGAUGUCUGGAAUCAUUCGAUGUAUCUCACUAUCAGUCCAAAGAUGAAACUGACCCUGAUGACUACACAGCAGAGAGAUUUUUUUAAAUCAGGGUUUUGACACCAACAUUCAGCUACUAAAUCAACUAAUCCUGAAGGUUCCUUCUACCUCUGGACUCCAAGUUUCAGCUUUUGGGUUCAUAUCUGUGAUGGUUAAUAUUGAGUGUCAACUAGAUUGAAUUGAAGGAUGCGAAGUAUUUUUCCUGGGUGUGUCUGUGAGGGUGUUGCCUUCAUCUUUCUCCCGUGCUGGAUGCCUCCUGCCCUCGAACAUCAGACUCCAAGUUCUUCAGUUUUUGGAUUCUUGGACUGGGGCUCUCGGGCCUUUGACCACAGACUGAAGGCUGAACUGUGGCCUUCCCUACUUUUGAGGUUUUGGGACUCAAACUGAUCUACUACUGGCGUUCUUGCUCCUCAACUUGCAGAUGUCCUAUCGUGGGACUUUACCACUUUACCUGAUUGUGUGAGCCAAUUCUCCUUAAUAAACUCCCUUUGAUAUAUACAUAUAUCCUUAGUUCUGUCCCUGUAAAGAACCGUGACUAAUACAAUAUCCAGAAGAUCAUUACCCAGAUCUAAAUUUUCCUCUGUGAUUGAUUGUUGUAUAUGGUAUAAGGGUCUAAUUUCAUUCUUCUGCAUGUGGAUAUCCAGUUGUCCGAACAUCAUUUAUUGAAGAGACUAGCCUUUUCCUAUGGUGUGAUCUUGGCACCUUUGUUGCAAAUUGAUUUACCAUAAAUGUGUGGAUUUAUUUCUAUGUUCUCUAUUAUGUUCCACUGAGCUAUAUGUUUGUUAUUAUGCAAGUACCAUGCUAUUUUGAUUAUUAUAGCUUUGUAGUAUAUUUUGAAGUUAGGUAGUGUGAUGCUUUCAGCUUUGUUCUUUUUGCUCAAGAUUACUUUGGCUCUUUGGGGGUUUUUAUGUUUCCAUAUAAAUUUUAGGAUUAUUUUUCUAUAUUUGUAAAAAACAUCAUUGGAAUUUUAAUAGAGAUUGCAUUGAAUCUGUAGAUCACUUUAGGUAGUAAUCCAUAAACCUGGGAUAUGUUUUCAUUUUUUGCAUCAUCUUUAAUUUCUUUCAUUGAUUUUGUUUUGUUUUGUAAGAGACAGGGUCUCACUAUGUUGCCCAGGCUGGAAUGCAGUGGCUAUUCACAGGCACGAUCAUAGCACACCACAUGGCCUUGAACUCCUAGGCCCAAGUGAUUCUCCUGCAUCAAGUCCUUAGUAGCUGGGACUACAGAUGCGUGCCACCACAUCCAGCUAUAUCAAUGUUUUAUAGUUUUCAAGUAAAGAUCUUUCGUCUCCUUGGUUAAAUUUGUUUAUAUUUUUUGUAGCUGUGCAAAUUAAUUUUUUUAUUUCUUCUUUAGAUAGUUCAUUGUUGGUAUAUAGAAAGACUACUGAUUUUUGUAUGUUUAUUUUAUAUCUUACAACCUUACUGAAUUUGUUUAUUGGUUCUAACAGUUUUUGUGUGGAAUCUUUAGGUCUUUCUACAUAUAAAGGACAUUUUAACUUCUUCCUUUCCAAUUUGGAUGCCUCAUUGCUCCUUUCCAAUUUCUCUUGCCUAAUUGUUCUGGCUAGGACUCCCAGUAUUAUGUUUAAUACAAGUGGCUAAAGUGGGCAUCCUUGUUUUGUGCCUGAGCUUAGAGGAAAAGCUUUCAACUUUUCACCAUUGAGCAUGAUGUUAGCUAUGGGUUUGUCAUAUAUGGCCUUUAUUGUGUUGAAGUACAUUCCUUCUAUACCUAAUUAGUGAGAGUUUUUAUCAUAAGAUGUGGUUUUCUUUUCUUAUUAUGCAUUUUUCUGGGUUUUGGUGUCAAAGUAAUACCAGCCCUUUUUAGUAAUUUUUAUUUCUGUAAAGUUGGUAGUAAUGGUUCAUCUUUCAUUCCUGAUUUUAGUCACUUGAACAUUCUCUCUUCUUUUUCUGGUCAUCUAACCAAAGGUUUGUCAAUUUUGUUGAUCUUUUCAAAGAAACAACUUUGAUUUUCGUUAAUUUUCUCUAUUGUUUUUCUAUACUUUAUUUCAUUUAUUUUUACUGUAAUCUUUAUUAUUUCUUUGCUUCUGCUUGCUUUCACUUCAACUUGCUUUUCUUUUUGUAGUUUCUUAAGGUAUAGAGUUAGGGUUUGGAUUUACAAUCUUUCUCCUCUUUCAUGGGCAUUUAUAGCUCUAAAUUUCCCUCUGAGCACUGCUUUGCUGCAGUUGUCGCAUAAGUUUGGUGUGAUGUGCGUGCAUUUCCGUUUAUUUCAAAAUGUCUUCUAAUUUCCCUUGUGAUUCUGCUUUGACCAUUUGUCCAUUUCGGGGGGAGUGUAUUGUUUAAUUUCCACAUUUGUUAAUUCUCUAAAUUUUCUUCUGUUAGUGGUUUCUGAUUUUAUUCCAUUCUGUUCAGAAAGCAUGUUUUAUGUGAUUUUAAUCCUUUAAAGUUUAUCAAGAUUUGUUUUAAGCCUUAAUAUGUUCUAUUCAAGAGAAUGUUCUAUGCACACUUGAGAACAUGUGCAGCCUGCUGUUGUUAAGUGUUCUAUAAAUGUGUGUUAGAUCUAGUUGGUUCAUAAUAUGGUCCAAGUCUUCCAUUUCCUUUCUAGUUGUUCUAUCCAUUAUUGGCAGUGUGGUAUUGAAGUCUCUAACUUAUUGUUGAAUUGUCUAUUCCCUCCUUCAAUUCUGUCAGGUUUUGUUUCAUCUAUUUUGGGUCUUUGUUGUUAGGUGUAUAUAUGUUUAUAAUUGUUAUGUCUUCUUGAUGCAUUGACUCUUUUACCUUUAUAAAAUGUCCUUCUUUGUCUCUAGAUUUUUAAAGUCUACUUUCUCUCUAGUAGCUUUGUGAUUUUAGCUUUACAUAUAGCUUGGUAAGUCAUCUCAAAUUACUUUUUCUGUAUGGUGUGAGAGAUUGAGGUUCACUUUUUCUGUAGGAUUAUCCAGUUGUUCCAACACUAUUUUUAAGGUAUCUUCUCCAUUGACAUUCCUUAUCAUCUGGUGUCAAAAAUCAAUUAUCUUUAUAUGUGUGAGCCUAUGUCUAGACUGUCUAGUCUAUUUUAUUAAUUUGUUAGUCUGUCACUGUGCCAAUACUACACUGUCUUGAUGACAGACUUUAUAGAAAGUCUUGAAAUCAGGCAGUAAGAAUCCUCUAAUUACACUCUUUCAAGAUUGUCUUGCUUAUUCAAGACCUUUUGUAUGUUCAUAUACAUUUUGGAAUCACUUUGUCAAUUUAUAUACUUUUUAAAAGCCUGCUGAAAUUUUUGAUUGGUAUUGCGUAAAAUGCAGGAAUCAAUUUUGGGAGAAUUGACAUUUUAACACUACUGUUUCCUAGUUCAUGAGCAUGGUAUUAGGUUCGUGCAAAUGUAAUUGCGGUUUUGCGGCAGUUAACCAUUAACCAUUAACCCAUUAACCAUUAUUUUAAUGGCAAAAACCACAAUUACUUUUGCACCAAUCUAUUGUAUCUGUUUUUUAUAUUUUAUGGUUUUCAAGGUAGAGGUUUUACAAAUCCUUUAUUACAUUUGUUCCUAAGGCCAGGUAUGGUGACUCAUGUCUGCAGUCUCAGAGAUUUUGGAGGCUGAGGCAGGAGGAUCACUUGAAGCCAGGAGUUUGAGACAGCCUGGGCAACAAAGCAAAACCCCAUCUCUACAAAAAAUAACAUUUUUUAAAAAUAGGCAGGAGUGGUGGUGUAUGCCUUCAGUCCCAGCUACUCGGUAGGCUGAGGCAGGAGGAUUGCUUGAGCCCAGGAGUUCAAGGCUACAGUGAGGUAUGCACAUCACUGCACUCCAACUUGAGUGACAGUGUGAAGCCCUGUCUCUAAAAAUAAAACAAAUUGUUCCUAAAUAUUUUAAUCUUUUUGAUGGUAUUAUAAAUGAUACUGCUUUUAAUUUUUAUUUUUCUAUUUUUGCUAAUAUAUUGAAGUAUGAUUGAUUUGUAUAUAUGAAUGUUGUACUCUGCAAACUUGUUACAUUCACUUAAUAUUUCUGAUAGAUUUUCAGUAAUGUCCUUAGGAUUUCUUCACAAACUAUUACUUUUUCUGCAAACAGAAGUGGUCUUUUUUCUAUCUAAUAUUUAUGCUUUUGAUUGCCUCUUCUUGCCUUAUUACACUGACCAGAAAACCUCCAAUACAAUGUUAAAUAAAAAAGGUAAGAGUGGACAUCCUUGCCUUGUGCUUAAUCUCCAGGGAUAGUGUUCAGUAUUUCACCAUUAACUGUGAUGUUAACUGUAGGUUUCUCAUAGCUGUACCUAUCAAAUUGAGGAAACACUCAUCUAUUUCUAGUUUGCUGAGAGUUUUUAAAACAAUGUGUAAUGAAUUUUGUCAGUGCUUUUUCUGCAUCUGUUGAAAUGAUCAUAUUGUUUGUCUUUUUUAUUUUGUUAAUGUAUAAAUACACAUUGAUUUUUAAAGGCUAAAUAAAUCUUGCAUCCCCUGGGACAAAUCCCAGCACACCAAAUAAAUAUAUUAUCCUUUUUCUAUAUUGCUGGAUUCAAUUUGUUAAUAUUUUGUUGAAGAUUUCAAAUCUUCAAACAAAUAUAUUGUCCUUUUUCUAUACUGCUAAAUUCAGUUUGUUAAUAUUUUGUCAAAGAUUUCUGUGUCUUGUUUGUAUUGGAUAUUGGCCUCAUAAAACAAGAUAGAAAAUAUUCCUUCGUCUUCUAAUCUCUGAGAUCAUUUGUAUAAGGUUGAUAUUAUUUCUUCUUUUAGAUGAUUAAUGAAAUUUACCUCUGAAAAUAUUUGGACCUGAGUUUGUUGUGGGAAGGUUUUUGAGGAUCGAUGCAAUUUCUUUUAUAGAUAUGGAUUUUCUGUUGCUUCUUGAGAAAGUUUUAUAAGUUGUAUUUUUCUCAGUUUGUCAACUUUUUCUAAGUUCUCAAAUGAAUUGGAAUAAAAUUGUUCAUAAUGUUUCUACCUUAUCUUUUUGAUAUCAGUAGGAUCUCUAGUACUAUCCCUUUCUUCAUCCCUGACGUUAACAACUUUUGUUUUCUCUUUUUUCUUGAUCAAUCUUUCUAGAAGUUUAUCAAUUUUGUUAAUAUUUACAACAAACCAACUUUUGGCUCUGUUAAUUUUCUCUUUGGUUUAUCUGUUUUUUAAAUCAUUAAAUUUAUGUUGCACUUAUGUUGUUAUUUUCUCUUUCCUACUUGUUUCUGCUUAUUUUUUCCUUUCUUCUACCUUCUUUGGGUUUAAUUUUCUCUUUUUUGAUAGCUUCUUAAAAUGAAAACAUUUUAAUUUUUGUUUGCAUAGUAAAAUUUACUCUUUUUGAAGUUGUGAAACCACAAUCACGAUUAAGAUAUGCACAAAAAAUUCCCUUUUGCUACCCUUUUGUAGUUAACACUUCUCCCCUUUCUCUAACUCCUAGCAACCAUUGAUCUAUUCUCUGUCCCUUUAGUUUUGCCUUUUCCAAAAUGUCAUGUAAAUGGAAUCAUACAGUAUGUAAACUUUUAAUUCUGACUUAUUCAACUUACCAUAAUGCCUUUGCAAUUCAUUCAUGUUGUAUUAAUAUUUUGUUUCUUUUUUCUUGCUAAGUAAUAAUGCCCUGCAUAUGUGCCACAGAUUGUUUAUCUCUUUCCCAUUUGAGGAACAUUUAAUUGCUUCUAGAUUUUGGCAAUAAUGAAUAAAGCCAAUGUAAAUAUCCACAGGUAGAUUUUUGUGUGAACAUCAGUUUCCACUUCACUUAAGUAAAUACCUAAGAGUAGGAUGGCUGGGUCAUAUAGAAAGUGUAUGUUUAGGCCGGGCGCGGUGGCUCACGCUUGUAAUCCCAGCACUUUGGGAGGCCGAGGCGGGUGGAUCACGAGGUCAGGAGAUCGAGACCACGGUGAAACCCCGUCUCUACUAAAAAUAAAAAAAAAAUUAGCCGGGCGUGGUGGCGGGCG
rnacentral:lncRNA from 10 species